rnacentral:rRNA from 1 species
UACGAAGGUCCCAAGCGUUAUCCGGAUUUAUUGGGUUUAAAGGGUGGCGUAGGCGGGCUAUUAAGUCAGUGGUGAAAGCCCCAGCUUAACUGUGAAACUGCCAUUGAACUGUCAGCUUGAGUACAUUGAAGUGGCGGAAUACAUCAUGUGAGCGGUGAAAUGUUAGAUAGUGAAUGUAGAACACCGAUGACGAAGGCAGCUCGACUAAACUGUAACUGACGGCUGAGGCACGAAAGCGUGGGGAGCAAACAGG